rnacentral:tRNA from 2 species
AAUUUUUUAGUAUAAAUUGUAUAUUUGACUUCCAAUCAAAAGGUCUAGAGUUAGAAAAAUUA